GGUGCGUGGACGACACCGUCAAGUGUCAUGUCGGCCGGCCCAAGCAUAGUUUCUCUGCGACGACACAAGCAUAAUUUUGACGGUCCUGGUUGUUAAUGAGCACCUAGGGAAAAAUAAAGUUAAUCAAAGUAUCCUCAGUCGGAGCAUCUCCAACUGACUCCCGAAACUAAAUAACUGUUUUUUUUCUCCUCCAAGCUGCUCCACCAGCUCUCCAAAAGCACUUCACAAUGAGUAUAUUUUUUGGGAGGGAAGAAAAACCUCUCUCCUCCACCCUCCAAAUAGGGAGGCAACAUCCCGAGGAGAAAAAACCUCUCUCCUCUCAACUGCCAUCGACUUUUUCCUGUCGCCGUCAAAUCCUCAUAAAAAAUAUUCGGAAUAGUGGAAUAAGAAAUGCAAAAAUGAAAAAAAAGGAAACCUAAUCUCACCUCCUUCUGUACCAUAAAGAAAAGAACCAGAGAUUUUUACCCACCCUUUUCUGAAAAUAAAAGGCUCCGCUUUCCAACACGAUGUCUUUUCCCAAAUUCA
rnacentral:lncRNA from 1 species